rfam:Gossypium hirsutum cultivar TM-1 chromosome 1, whole genome shotgun sequence
GAUAGUUUGGUCGAGUGGUUUAAGGCGCUAGUUUUAGGCUCUUGCCCGAAAGGGUGUGGGUUCAAAUCUCACAGCUCUCA